rnacentral:misc_RNA from 1 species
UGGCUCUCGCAUCGAUGAAGAACGCAGCGAAAUGCGAUAAGUAAUGUGAAUUGCAGAAUUCAGUGAAUCAUCGAAUCUUUGAACGCACCUUGCGCUCCCUGGUAUUCCGGGGAGCACGCCUGUUCGAGUGUCAUGAAACUAUCAAGUCUAUUGGUUUUUAUUAAUCAGUAUGGCUUGGAUUUGGAUCUUGCCGUGCUUAGUCUCGGCUGGUCCUAAAUAUAUUAGCUGGCCCUUGUGAAGGCUUGGUUCUACUCGAAGUGAUAAUUAUCUAACUUUGAGGACAUUCUCCGGAAUGGCCAGACUUUUCUCGGACUGCUUAUAGUCGUCUUCGGACAAUAUAACUUUCAAAUCUGACCUCGAAUCAGGUGGGACUACCCGCUGA